AUUGAACGCUGGCGGCACGCCUAACACAUGCAAGUCGAGCGGCAGCGAGACUAGUAGCAAUACUAGUUGUCGGCGAGCGGCGGACGGGUGAGUAACACGUAGGAAUCUGCCCUUAAGCGGGGGAUAACCAAGGGAAACUUUGGCUAAUACCGCAUAAUCUCGAGAGAGCAAAGCUGCCCGCAAGGCUGGCACUUGAGGAGGAGCCUGCGUCCGAUUAGCUAGUUGGUGGGGUAAUGGCCUACCAAGGCGAUGAUCGGUAACUGGUGUGAGAGGACGAACGGUCACAGUGGAACUGAGACACGGGCCAGACUCCGACGGGGGGCAGCAGUGGGGAAUAUUGGACAAUGGGGGCAACGCUGAUCCAGCGAUGCCGCGUGAGUGAAGGAGGACUUCGGGUCGUAAAGCUCUUAGGUUGGGAAGAAGGGUAUUGGCUGAAUAAUCCAGUACUUUGACGGUACCGACAGAAUAAGCACCGGCAAACUCUGUGCCAGCCGCCGCGGUAAGAC
rnacentral:rRNA from 1 species